AUGAACGCUGACAGAAUGCUUAACACAUGCAAGUCAACUUGAACUUCGGUUUGGGUGGCGGACGGGUGAGUAACGCGUAAAGAACUUGCCUCACAGCUAGGGACAACAUUUGGAAACGAAUGCUAAUACCUGAUAUUAUGAUUUUAGGGCAUCCUAGAAUUAUGAAAGCUAUAUGCGCUGUGAGAGAGCUUUGCGUCCCAUUAGCUAGUUGGAGAGGUAACGGCUCACCAAGGCGAUGAUGGGUAGCCGGCCUGAGAGGGUGAACGGCCACAAGGGGACUGAGACACGGCCCUUACUCCUACGGGAGGCAGCAGUGGGGAAUAUUGGACAAUGGACCAAGAGUCUGAUCCAGCAAUUCUGUGUGCACGAUGAAGUUUUUCGGAAUGUAAAGUGCCUUCAGUUGGGAAGAAAAAAAUGACGGUACCAACAGAAGAAGUGACGGCUAAAUACGUG
rnacentral:rRNA from 1 species